UGGGGAAUUUUGGACAAUGGGCGAAAGCCUGAUCCAGCAAUGCCGCGUGUGUGAAGAAGGCCUUCGGGUUGUAAAGCACUUUUGUCCGGAAAGAAAUCCUUGGCUCUAAUACAGUCGGGGGAUGACGGUACCGGAAGAAUAAGCACCGGCUAACUACGUGCCAGCAGCCGCGGUAAUACGUAGGGUGCAAGCGUUAAUCGGAAUUACUGGGCGUAAAGCGUGCGCAGGCGGUUUGCUAAGACCGAUGUGAAAUCCCCGGGCUCAACCUGGGAACUGCAUUGGUGACUGGCAGGCUAGAGUAUGGCAGAGGGGGGUAGAAUUCCACGUGUAGCAGUGAAAUGCGUAGAGAUGUGGAGGAAUACCGAUGGCGAAGGCAGCCCCCUGGGCCAAUACUGACGCUCAUGCACGAAAGCGUGGGGAGCAAACAGGAUUAGAUACCCUGGUAGUCCACGCCCUAAACGAUGUCAACUAGUUGUUGGGGAUUCAUUUCCUUAGUAACGUAGCUAACGCGUGAAGUUGACCGCCUGGAGAGUACGGUCGCAAGAUUAAAACUCAAAUGAAUUGACGGGGUCAUAGCUGUUUCCU
rnacentral:rRNA from 1 species